UACGUAGGGUGCAAGCGUUGUCCGGAAUUAUUGGGCGUAAAGAGCUCGUAGGCGGUUUGUCGCGUCUGCUGUGAAAACUCAGGGCUUAACUCUGAGCUUGCAGUGGGUACGGGCAGACUAGAGUGCGGUAGGGGAGACUGGAAUUCCUGGUGUAGCGGUGGAAUGCGCAGAUAUCAGGAGGAACACCGAUGGCGAAGGCAGGUCUCUGGGCCGCAACUGACGCUGAGGAGCGAAAGCAUGGGGAGCGAACAGG
rnacentral:rRNA from 1 species